GGGGAAUAUUGCACAAUGGGGGAAACCCUGAUGCAGCGACGCCGCGUGGAGGAAGAAGGUCUUCGGAUUGUAAACUCCUGUUGUUGAGGAAGAUAAUGACGGUACUCAACAAGGAAGUGACGGCUAACUACGUGCCAGCAGCCGCGGUAAAACGUAGGUCACAAGCGUUGUCCGGAAUUACUGGGUGUAAAGGGAGCGCAGGCGGGCAGACAAGUUGGAAGUGAAAUCCAUGGGCUCAACCCAUGAACUGCUUUCAAAACUGUAUGUCUUGAGUAGUGCAGAGGUAGGCGGAAUUCCCGGUGUAGCGGUGGAAUGCGUAGAUAUCGGGAGGAACACCAGUGGCGAAGGCGGCCUACUGGGCACCAACUGACGCUGAGGCUCGAAAGUGUGGGUAGCAAACAGGAUUAGAUACCCUGGUAGUCCACACCGUAAACGAUGAUUACUAGGUGUUGGAGGAUUGACCCCUUCAGUGCCGCAGUUAACACAAUAAGUAAUCCACCUGGGGAGUACGACCGCAAGGUUGAAACUCAAAGGAAUUGACGGGGGCCCGCACAAGCAGUGGAGUAUGUGGUUUAAUUCGACGCAACGCGAAGAACCUUACCAAGUCUUGACAUCCUGCGACGGUACUGGAAACAGUACUUUCCUUCGGGACGCAGAGACAGGUGGUGCAUGGUUGUCAUCAGCUCGUGUCGUGAGAUGUUGGGUUAAGUCCCGCAACGAGCGCAACCCUUAUGGUCAGUUACUACGCAAGAGGACUCUGGCCAGACUGCCGUUGACAAAACGGAGGAAGGUGGGGAUGACGUCAAAUCAUCAUGCCCUUUAUGACUUGGGCUACACACGUACUACAAUGGCGUUAAACAAAGAGAAGCAAGACCGCGAGGUGGAGCAAAACUCAGAAACAACGUCCCAGUUCGGACUGCAGGCUGCAACUCGCCUGCACGAAGUCGGAAUUGCUAGUAAUCGUGGAUCAGCAUGCCACGGUGAAUACGUUCCCG
rnacentral:rRNA from 1 species